AAAAAAAACUUCAAUGAACCGCUCCCUUAUGACUUUGACUGGGUGGAUAAAGUAGACUAUGGCUGUAGUUAUCAUCCUCACACAGAGCGUGAAAUUGUCAUGUUCCUGUUCUCUUUGGUGGGAUUUUUUAUUCUUGGAGAGUAUCUAUGUAACAAAUAUUUACCACGGCACGUUGAGGCGCUGCCUAAACAAUUCCCCUACACCUACUCUCAGGUGGUGACAUACAGAGAUCCAUCAGAGAUACAGAGAACUGUCCAUUACACGUUUGAACCAGCGGAUAGUAAGGAGUGAUGAAAUGUGACAAAAAAACGGACAUUAAUAUGGCUUAUGUGAAUAUUUGAAUGUGUAAAAGUUACGUGUUAUUAAAUAAUAAAUUAAGAAAAGUUAAA